ensembl:lncRNA
UCUAACUGCACUCACACUAACAGCUCUAACUGCACUCGCAGCUCUAACUGCACUCGCACUAGCAGCUCUAACUGCACUCACACAGCUCUAACUGCACUCGCACUAGCAGCUCAUACUGUGCGAUUUUGGCAACAACAUCGGACUCUGUCGUCUUUGCUGUUUCCUUUUUCUCUGCGGCGGUUGUAAACACUUCCUGUUCCAGCGCGGUUUCAUGUUCGCUUAGAUUAAAGUUUUGAAACUUUGGGACUACGUUGUUUACAUCGGUUUGAUCCUUAAACAAGACUUGGGUGAAGAAUUUCUGUUGGGAAUCCUCGACUUCACGCUGUCUGGAAGCUUCGCUCGAAGCAAAGUUAACGGAAAUGAGCUUCUUAUUGUAAGUAACGGUGGCUAGCUAACUAGUCAGACCUCUGUCUGUUAUUAUGCAGCGACGUGGUGGUUGUUUGGAGAUAACUAGAGAUAUUUUGGUGGGAUAAUCCCCGCUGAAUCGAUGUAAACCAUCACUAAACAGUCAGUAAUAGACUAACUAGUUACUAGCCCAUAGUUAGAGUAACUUUCCUGUCUCCUCAUGUGGCUCAGGCCAGCUUUAUGAGUAACGUUAGUUAGCCAACACAGCUACAACCACGGUAAGAUUUAACAAAUAUAUCAAAUAUUAGUUUUUAUAUUAGCGUAUACAACACUAGUGUAAGUUUAUAUUUGAAACAUCAAUCCCCUGGACGCCUUUAUUAGGCCGUGUUUUCUCUUCCUCGAAGGCUCUCCAUGAAGCUUCCGCUAAAGCACUUAAGAUGAAUAAAUGAAGUUAUAAACCAUCUGUCGCGUUGGAGAGCUGAUUAAAGCCCAGACUGAUGGAGAACUGAGCAUUAGCUGAAACG